rnacentral:rRNA from 1 species
GACGAACGCUGGCGGCGUGCUUAACACAUGCAAGUCGAGCGCUGAAGCUCCUUUCGGGGGGUGGAUGAGCGGCGAACGGGUGAGUAACACGUGGGUGACCUGCCCUCAGCUCUGGGAUAAGCUUGGGAAACUGGGUCUAAUACCGGAUGGGACCUUGCAUCGCAUGGUGUGGGGUGGAAAGCCAGUUGCUUUUGUUUCUGGCGGUUGGGGAUGGGCCCGCGGCCUAUCAGCUUGUUGGUGGGGUGAUGGCUUACCAAGGCGACGACGGGUAGCCGGCCUGAGAGGGCGACCGGCCACACUGGGACUGAGACACGGCCCAGACUCCUACGGGAGGCAGCAGUGGGGAAUCUUGCGCAAUGGGCGAAAGCCUGACGCAGCGACGCCGCGUGAGGGA